rnacentral:sRNA from 1 species
AAGCUAGAAGCCUGAGGAGCCGGAGAGAGUGCUGGCUGCCGCGCGGCCGAGUGUGUUUUAUGGACCAUGUGCUGCUAUGUAUGCCUGAAGAAGUACUUGAAAUGCAAAUUUGGGGAGACUUUGCCAUAUAAAUGCUUGGCUGGAUUAAGCGCCUAAUUAGGAUGGUUUUUCAACAAGUUGGAGUAAGCAUGCAAUCGAAUAGUAUGAAAACCUGAUGAAAAUAAAAUUUUUACUGUACUUUGGUCUAGGAAGCCAUAUGGUUCGUCUCGAAGUAUCGUAAGGAAAAUUGGUACUAAUUUGUCUCUGAUUCAGUGUCCAAGAGUUCAGUUUCAGCUGUAGUAGGACAGGACCUUGCUGGGAACCUUCAAUUAACAGCCAUGCAACAGAAUGGAGUCCCAGCCACCCAGGAGAGGAUGCAGUGGCGUCUUUUGCUGAUGUUGGAUGGGUAGCCAAAGAAGAAGGAGAGUGUUCAGCAAGACUAAGGACAGAGGUCAGAUCAAGGCCACCCCUUCAGGAUGACCUUCUUUUCUUUGAGAA